GAUGGUAUACAAUAAUUUUGUUUAAUGAUGGAGGGAGGGAGGGAGGGAAGGAAGGAAGGAAGGAAGGAAGGAAGGAAGGAAGAAGGAAGGAAGAGAGGGAGAGAGGGAAGGAGGGAGGAAAGGAGGGAGAAAAGGAGAGGGAAGAAAGAAAGGGAAGAAAGGGAGGAAGGGAGAAAGGAAGGAAGAAAGAGGAGGAAUGAAGAAAAGGAAGGAAGGAGUGAAUGAAUAUAUUACAUUUCAUUUGUGUUCCAGGAUACAGCAUGAAUUCAGCUCUCUGAGUCCAGAUUUCACAUGCAUAAUAACAGGUCAUUUCACUGAGAAAAGACCUGGGUUUUCUCCAGCGCUUGCACCUUACAGCUUCAAAUACAUACCACAUGGAGAGGAUUUCCAGAAGAAUACAGAAUGGCUGCUAUAAACACCUAGUUGCUGGGAAUGGAGGUUUCUAUCAGAUCUUUGUCUUUUCUCCAAGGUAGAAUAUAAUAGUAGUAAUGUCUGCCGUCUUUAUGGCUGUGAAAUUGCUUUGAAAUGUAUAUAAAAAGAUAAAAAGGAGGUAAGGGAGCCUACAAAAGAUGGAUGUCUUAGAUAUUUAAAUACUCUUUUUCAAAGACAACAUUGUCUACUGUGCAUGCAACUGUCAGCUUAUAGGAGGUUUUGUCACCCAAAGAACGUAGACUGGAAUAGGAAGAGAAAUCUGAGGUGGCCUUCACAUGCCAUAUUUGCCACAAAGAUAAUUUCUGAUGUUGCUAUAACAGGAACUUGUCAAUGUGGUAGGCUCAAAUGCUGAUGCUGUGAGAACCAGGUGUCCAAACUUCCUCAGGGAGGUAAUGAUAGUGAGCAAAGGAGGUGGUGCCUACCACCCAGUAAAAAAUGAAACAAACCACACAUAAUGUCCAUACAAUUCAUAAGCAGUUUUGAGAGUCUCUUUACUGCUUCCAUAUUCCCUAAGUCACAUGUUCUUUUGUUACAUCUACAUCCUUCCCACCCCCUCCCCAGCAAAGUAGUCAUUAGUGUUCAUUUUCACUGGAUAUUAUCUGCAUAAACAUUUUGGAUUUGCAGGAUGGGAGAUACGCACUGUGUUUUGCCCUGACCCACAUGUUAAGAAAGGCUAUGUUUAUUAGAUGUUAUCCUCAGAAGAUGGCCAUGAUUUAGGGAUUGCUGCCAUGCUUAUCCUGGGAGGUACAUGUUGGAAUGAAAAAAUCCCACACAAAGAGAUUAGGCACAAGUUGAGCUCUGAAGUUGCAUGCUCUGUUUCCUUUUAUUAUUUUUUUUUAAGAAAAUGAUCUCAGAUUUUCCUCUUGCAUCAACCCAAGAUAGUCUUUUGAGCAACUUAUAAAAUUUCAGCUGCCUCCACCCUCUAUUUUUGGAUUGCUUUUGUUUUCUAACUCUUGUGGCCACCGAAUUAUUUACUAGUGGUUCAAGAAGUGUCAUAAAGCAGCAAACUUAUUUUGUAGUCAUGCAUGAAUAGUGACACACAGAUGUGCACUACGUAAAUUUAUCUCUAAAUCGAUUCUAAGGUGACAGGAAGAUAAUCUACAGUUGGUGUAAUAUAGAGAAACUUGUUUUAACUAUUUUUCUUUUCAGUAAGAACUUUUAAGAAGUUUCUGUAGCAGAUGAACUUUGAUAAGUUUUUCUGACUUUUUCUUUUUCCUUUUUCUUUCUUUCCUUCCUUCCUUCCUUCCUUCCUUCCUUCCUUCCUUCCUUCCUUCCUUCCUUCCUCCCUCCCCCACUCUUUCUUUCUUUCAUCUUAUUUGAGUAUAGUCGACACACAAUGUUACCUUAUUUUCGGGUGUACAACAUAGUGAAUCAACAUGUUUAUACAUUAUGCUGUGUUCACUACAAAUAUAGCUACUGUCUAUACUGUUACAUUGCUAUUACAGCAUCAUUGACUAUAUUCCUUAUGCAGUGCCUUUUAUUCCCCUGACUUAUUCAUUCCAUAACUGGAAGCCUGUGUAUCCCACUGCCCUUCACCCACUUUGCCCACCCCCAUCCCCUCCCCUCUGUCAAUCAUUAGUUUGUUCUCUGUAUUUCUAGAUCUGAUUCUGCUUUGUUUUGUUUUGACUAAUGAGUGAAACCAUGACCUAAUCAGGUCCUGGUGUUCUCUUUCUCAGUAUGACUUAUUUCACUUAGUGUAAUACCCUAUGGGUCCAUCCAUGUAGUCUCAAAUGGCACAAUCUCAUUUUUUUUAAUGUAAAAUAUUCCUCUGUGUGUGUGUUGUGUGUGUGUGUGUGUGUGUGUGUGUGUACACCAUAUCUUCCUUAUCCAUUUGUGAUUGAUGGACACUUAAGUUGCCUCCGUAUCUUGGCUAUUAUAAAUAAUGCUGCAAUAAAUAUAGGGGCACAUAUAUCUUUUUAAAUUAG
rnacentral:lncRNA from 1 species